UGCAGCCUUGUCAAAUUCAGUGUUUCCUUUGCUUUUCAGUGGACCGCACUGGCCAAAAUUGCCGCAACAGUGACUUUUUAGUCCAUGGGCCCCAUGUUCUUUUAUAGUGGAGACUGGGGACAUAACUAACUAUGUACAAUA